UACAGGGGGUGCAAACGUUGCUCGGAAUUAUUGGGCGUAAAGCGCACGUAGGCGGUCUGUUAUGUCGGAUGUGAAAGCCCUUGGCUCAACUGAGGAAGUGCAUCCGAAACUGGCAGGCUAGAGUACGUAAGAGGGUCGCGGAAUUCCUGGUGUAGCGGUGAAAUGCGCAGAUAUCAGGAAGAACACCCGUGGCGAAGGCGGCUCUCUGGGACGGUACUGACGCUGAGACGCGAAAGCGUGGGGAGCGAACAGG
rnacentral:rRNA from 1 species